UUUCCGUAGGUGAACCUGCGGAAGGAUCAUUACCGUAGUCGCCCGGGUUGCCGCAAGGCCUCCCGGGUAACCUACCACCCUUUGUUUAUUACACUUUGUUGCUUUGGCAGGCCUGCCCUCGGGCUGCUGGCUCCGGCCGGCGAGCGCUUGCCAGAGGACCUAAACUCUGUUUGUCUAUACUGUCUGAGUACUAUAUAAUAGUUAAAACUUUCAACAACGGAUCUCUUGGUUCUG
rnacentral:misc_RNA from 1 species